AUGAUGCAGAACUUGUCACCCAGUCUUCAAUGACCCUGAUUGUAUUAUCAACCCUUAAGAGAGCAGUGAGUGAAAAGCAAACACCAUUGAUUACGUCUAGGAGUUAUUCAUAAGGGGAAGUCUUAUCAUUACCAACUGCAAGCAAAUUUUACUUUGUUUCCUAUGUCUAGUAAAGAUGGUUGUAGUCACGAGUCGUAGUCAUGCUACUUUGGUUACCACACCUUCAUGUUGUUUUUCUUUCUCUAGACUAGUCUUUUCCUAAAAGUGUAACUGUGGAAUGCUUUGUCUUGGGAAAAUUUUUACCAAAAAAUUUUCGUGGGAAAUUCUGAAUACCAUUUUUCUUUUUAAAAGAUUCGUAAGAUGAGUUGGGUUAUUGAAGACUUUCGUAACAAAGGAUCCUACUUAUCCUUGCUUAACUCAGCAUGUUCUAUUUGACCACUGGAAUCUCCCCUGGCCAUAUUGUAUGAGUAGCUAUGAACAUCCCAUAGAACUUGCAUUUCCAGGAAGACACUCUGGUAAAUACUUAUCUUGACAGACAAGGGAUAGAAUCAACUCAGAGGAAUGUUAUAUCCUCCCAAAUAAGGAUAAGCUCUUGGAGGAGGCCACAGCAUGGCAACUAAUGAAUUUGGGGAGGAAAGGAUUUCUGGGACUCACAAGGGCUGCCUGAUCAAUGGUAGACAACACUUAAGGAGAUUCCUGAGAUUUAAAAGAGCCCAGUUGUGCUGUGAAUGUAAGCUAGAGAGCCUUCUGACAGUGCAUCUUUGCCUCUCCUGUGCCCAUGUUCAGUGUCAAGGUUGUUCAGGAUAUGUGCAUGUGUGAAUUUAGCCUAAGACAAUAUAAAUGCUAAGCCAGAAUUAUCAAACUCCUAAGUUUGGCACAGGUUUGUUUUUUGUUUUUUGUUUUUUUUUAAAUCCAAGUAUUAUGUGACAAAAACAAAACACUGAAAACCUUCUUUACUUUCUCACCAGAAAUGGUAUGACUAUGCCAAAUUUUCUGUUUUUUGUCUGUUUGUUUUUUGGCCAAGGUGCACAAUAGCUUGAUGUAGGAUCUCAGUUCCCCAGACCAGGGAUUGAACCCUGGGCUGUAGCAGUGAAAGCACUGAGUCCUAGCCACUAGACCAGCAGGGAACUCGUAACUAUGCUGAUUUUUAUGAUUAUUUUAUUUUUUUGUAAAAAGAAAAAAGUCAUUUAUAAACAUUAAAGUCGUUUAUGAAUUUUGCCUCUGGAGGUGCACAAAUUUGGCAAGAGAGCAUAGAUUUGACACAUUGUAGUGAAUAUAACCCCUAAGUAAUGCAAUUUAGAAACAGUAUACAAAGCUAGCAUGGUUAAAUAAACUCUGACUUUUUAUGGCUUCUAGAGUGACUUGCGAGCGCUUUUGGUAGGAAAUUUUCAUGUGAUGCUGAGUCCCUGGCCUGGUGACAUUGCCAACAACCUGCUCCAUGGAGCUCUCUUUGCACACAGAUGGUGGGGAUUCUUUGAUUUGUAUAUGGGAGACUUAUAUAAGUGUCUGUAGAUCAGGCCAUCAGUAAAGCUAGCAUUACAAAGAAGAAAAACUAUAUAAAAUUUAUGCAUAUAAAAUACAUCAUAUUCCUAAAGUGGUUCUUCAUUUGGACUCAUCAGUUGUCUCAUUUGCUCCUUCUUCUGCCAUGAGGUCUUACUUUGUCUGAGGUAGAAGAUCCUGGUGAGCUACAGGAGAAUAAAAUUUAAAAUAAUGCACAAUUAUUAAAUUUUUAAAAAGGCCAGCACUCUUAGAGUUCAAAUGCAAAAGCAAAGAAAAUGUGUGCUGAUGUAAGGAGAAAGGGAAAAUGCUUCCUUCCUGAACGAUAAAGAAACCAAGUGAUCACAGCUACAAAAUUCAGAUGUUUCUGCUACAUUUAAAGUGGACAUAUUUUGCAGUUUAAUAGAGUCUCUCCAUCUCUGCCACCUGAAGACCAAAAUUGUGGAGCUGGCUUUAACGUAGAAGAGCUGAGAAUAAAGACAGGACCUAUGCUUGUCAAAUCCUUUGAUAAUCAAACCUGUGCUUGCCUCCUGUCCUGUCCUAUAAGAAGAUCAAUUUAAUUUUGGAGCAGGAAGAGUUCCUCUUGAAGGGCCAUAGAAGACACCUGGCAGUAGCUUAAAAGGUCCACACAACAGCUUGGGAAGCUGUUUGGAGAGACACCUUAUUAGAGAAAAUAUACAGAUUUGGGUCCUGUCUUACUGCUCCUUGAUGUACCUUUAAUUGGCAGAAUUCUAAGGUCUUCCCUACUGGGAAGCACACUGGGAGCAGUGACAGGGACAGCAUAUUUCUUGAGCUAUUUCCAGAAAAAUCAAGAGGAUAUUGUAGCUAUGAUAGGAGGUGGUGCUAAAAAAAAAUACCCUUGUGUUCCAAGCCCAUGAAAGAUCUUGGGUUUAGAGACAAAAACUAUUUUAUUACUCCCUGGAUGUGAUUUCAAAGAACUUAUCUCAUCAGGCUUUAUUGAUUUAAGAAAGUUCUGUGACCUCUGAUAGAUUUGGGGGGGGGGGUGUUGUGUGAACUCAGUGAAGGCAAUGCUGGUUGCUAGAUGACAAUCAGCAACAGAAAGCAUAUCUGGGGAUUAUGUUAUUUUCCCCUUUUAUCACAAGAAGAGGUAAUUUCCUUUUUUUUUUUUUUUUUUUUCUUUUUAGGGCCAUACCUGUGGCGUAUAGAAGUUCCCAGCCUAAGGGUUGAAUUGGAGCUCAGCUGCUGGAAUAUGCCACAGCCACAGCCACACAGCAUUUGAGCCAUGUCUGUGACCUACACCACAGCUCAUGACAACGCUGGAUACUUAAUCCACUGAGUGAGGCCAGGGACCAAACCCAUGGUUACUAGUCAGGUUCGUUACUGCUGAGCCACAGCGCAAACUCCUAGAAGAGGUAAUUUCUUAAAACUUGAUCUUUUUCUUAUUUCUCUGGGUUUGGAAGCCCUGGAAAUAAGCAUCUGAGCUGAAAGCACUGACUAGAGGGAAGGUCAGAGCAAAUUCUGAAAGAGCUUCUACAACAAGCUCACAUGUCUACCCCUCACACAGCUCCCCUCUCCAGCUACGCUCAGCCCACCUUCUGCAACGUCAUACUCACUGUCUCACUGUCCUUUAAAUAGUUGAGUUCCCUGUCUUCAGGAUUGUUUUACUUUUCUUUUUGAUCUGAAACAAGGAAUAAAUUUACCUCUGAGCUCUUACAACCAGAAACAAACAUCAAGAAGGAGAAAGGAAAAAAAAAAAAAAAAAAAAAAAAAGAGCUCUUUGAGUAAAGAAGAGUUUUGUUUUAACAAAUAGCCUCAAACUAGAAUUCCCUUGUUGGCAUUUACUGUAAUUUACUGACUCUAUUACCAGGCUGCAGUCCCCCAUCUGCAUAAUGACAUUUUAAAAAUUUCUCUAAUGACAAAGUUCUGAAGAAAUAUCUUCCCUUCUAAGUAUCCGAUUGGUAAAAAUUUCUGUAGGAUUCACUUAACCACAGGUGAAUGCGACUUUAUGAAACAAAGCUGAAUUUUAUUAACAAUACUCUUCAGCAACCACCUGGAAAAAUACUUCUUUUUUUUUUUUUUUUUUUUUUUUUUUACAAAUUUAGUUUUAUAAAACACAUACUUUUCUCCUGUUUUACUAAAAAGUUAUGCAAAGAUUAAAAACUGCUUUGUGUUUUUCUCUUUAAUUAAAUAUGUGUUGGAAUUAUAUUGCAGCUUGAUGUCUUUGGAAAAGUCAGGUGGGGUUUAUUUCUAUUGAAAAGAUGUAUAGUUUAAGAGAUGCCAGUGUUUCAACAUCAAUUAUCAGAAUAAACAUAUCUUAACUCUGACUUCUACUGGUAUGUUAUACAGAAGGUUUUUUUCAUAGUUAUUUCUUACCUGAUUGAAGGAAACUCAAAAAGACCCAUUGGUAUUAAAAACAAAUACUUCACUGAACUGGAAAAACUGCUGAUUAUCAGUCCUGGGGUGAACAGCCACUGCAUUUAGUUAGCCUCACCAUUGAAAAAAUUUUUCAUCUUAUAAGAUGAAUUAUAAUUUUUGUAAGACUAUAUAAUAUGCUCAAGUAAUAAACCUUAUUGUUUCAUUUUAAAACACAAAUUUAAGUAUAGAGAUGAAUAGUUUGAUGAGCUGCACAGAAAGGGAAGACUGGAAAGAAAAAUUUUUUUUGCUUGCAUUAUACUUCUUUUUUUUUGUCUCUUUAGGGCCGCUCUCCUGGCAUAUGGAAGUUCCCAGGCUAAGAGGGUCCAAUCGGAGCUGUAGCUGCCAGCCUACAUCAGAGCCACAGCAACGCGGGAUCCUAGCCACGUCUGAAACCUACACCACAGCUCAUGCAAUGCCGGAUCGUUAACCCACUGAGCAAGGGCAGGGAUUGAACCCACAAACUCAUGGUUCCUAGUCGGAUUUGUUAACCACUGUGCCACGAUGGGAACUCCCUGUUUGUACCUCUUAAUCCCUUAUCCCUAUCUUGCUCCUCCCCCCUUCCCUCUCCCCACUGGUAAAUACUACUUUGUUCUCUAUAUUUGUGAGUCUGUUUCUUUUUUUGUUAUAAUCACUCUUUCGUUUUACUUUUUGGAUUCCACAAAUAAGUGAUAACAUUCAGGAUUUCUCCUUCUCUGUCUGACAUAUUUCACUAGGCAUAAUAUCCUUCAGAUCCAUCCAUGUUGUUGCAAGUGCCAAAAUUUAAUUCUUCUUUAUGGUUGAGUAGUAUUCCAUUGUCUGUCUGUCUGUCUAUCUGUCUAUCUAUCUAUCUGUCUAUCUAUCUAUCAUCUAUCAAUUUAUCUCUCUAUAUCUCACAUCUUUAUCCAUUCAUCUGUGGACACAAGUUGUUUUCAUAUUUUGGCAAUUAUAAAUAAUACUGCUAUAAACAUUGGGAUGUAGGUCUUUUUGAAUUAGUGUUUUUGUUUUCCUUGGAUAUAGACAAGGAGUGAAAUUGCUGGGUUAUAUGGUGACUCUAUUUAUGUUUUCCACAGUGACUGCACCAAUUUACACUCCCACCAACAGUGUACGAAGUUUCCCUUUUCUUCAUAUCCUUGCCGCAUUUGUCAUUCGUGUUCUUUUUGAUGAUUGCCAUUCAUCAUUCAUCCAGGUGCAUGUAUCUUUUUGAAUUAUAGUUUUCUCCAGAUAUACGCCCAGGAGUGGGAUUACCGGAUCAUAUGGUAACUAUUUUUAGUUUUUUAUGGAAUCUCCAUAUUCUUUUCCAUAGUGGCUCCAUCAGUUUAAAUUCCCACCAGUGGUGAUGAGGGUUUUUUUUCUCCCUAUCCUUGCCACCAUUUGUUAUUUGUGGUCUUUUUGAUGACAGCCGUUCUGACCAGUGUGAGGUGAGAUACCUCAUUGUAAUUUUUAUUUGCAUUUCUCUGAUAAUUAGUGAUGUUGAGCAUCUUUCCAUGUGCUUUUUGGCUAUCCAUAUGUCUUCUUGGGAGAAAUGUCUAUUUAGAUCUUCUGACCACUUUUUUAUUAGGUUUUUUUGGGAGGGCUAUGCCUAUGGCAUGUGGAAGUUCCUGGACCAGGGAUUGAACCUGCACCACAGCAGUGACCAAGGCUGCUGAAGUGACAGCACCAUAUAUUUAACCUGCUGUGCCAUAAGGGAAAUCCCUGGGUUGUUUGUUUUUGGUUACUGUUAUAUGAACCAUUUGUAUAUUUUGAAAUUAAGCCUUUGUUUGUUGCAUUAUUUGCAAAUAUAUUCUCCCAGUUCAUAGGUUUUCUUUUUGUUUUGGUGAUGGGUCUGUGCUGGCCCAAUUCUGGGUCUUUUGUGAUUCUAUAAAAAUUUUAUGAUUAUUUGUUCUAGUUCUGUGAAAAACACCAUGGGUAAUUUGAAUAGAGAUAGCAUUAAAUCUUAUAGUUUGCUUUGGGUACUAUGGCCAUUUUAAGAAAAUUAAUUCUUCCAAUCUAAGAUUACAGGAUAUCUUUCCAUUUCUUUAACUGUUUGAUUAGAUUGUAUUUGUUUAUUUUUGCCCUUAUUUCUUUUGCCUUAGGAGAAUUAGAAGAAGAAUGACAAACCAAGCCCAAAGUCAGCAGAGGAAGGAAAUAAAUAAAUAUCA
rnacentral:lncRNA from 1 species